GCCUGGUUGGCUCAGUUAUUAGAGCUUGAGACUUUUGAUAUCGGGGUCGUGAGUUCAACCCCCAUGUUGGGCA
rnacentral:tRNA from 1 species